ensembl:snRNA U2 U2 spliceosomal RNA
UACACUUCUCGGCCUUUUGGCUAAGAUCAAGGGCAGUAUCUGUUCUUAUCAGUUUAAUAUCUGAUUUUUAGAACAGGGAGACGGAAGAGGGGCUUGCUCCGUCCGCUCCACGCAUCGACCUGGUAUUGCAGUACCUCCGAGAACGGUGCACCUCCU